rnacentral:rRNA from 1 species
GAUGAACGCUGGCGGCGUGCCUAAUACAUGCAAGUCGAGCGAAGCGGGGACGGGUGAGUAACACGUGGAUAACCUCCUAUAAUACUGGGAUAAAUUAGGGAAACCGGAGCUAAACCGGCUACUUAUAGAUGGAUCCGCGUUGCAUUAGCUAGUUGGUAAGGUAACGGGUUACCAAGGCAACGAUGCAUAGCCGACCGGGGAGGGGGACAGGCCACACGGGAACUGUGAAACGGUCCGAACUCCUACGGGAGGCGGCAGUAGGGAAUCUUGCGAAAUGGGCGAACGCCUAACGGGGCAACGCCGCGUGAGUAAGGAAGGUCUUCGGAUGGUAAAACUCUGUUAUUAGGGAAGCGGUACCUAACCAGAAAGCCACGGCUAACUACGUGCCAGCAGCCGCGGUAAUUC